UACCUCUGUGGAAAACAACCUUGAAGG
rnacentral:piRNA from 1 species